rnacentral:misc_RNA from 1 species
GAUGAAGAACGUAGCGAAAUGCGAUAAGUAAUGCGAAUUGCAGAAUCCGUGAGUCAUCGAAUCUUUGAACGCAUAUUGCGCCCUUUGGCAUUCCGAAGGGCAUGCCUGUUCGAGCGUCAUUAUCACCCCUCAAGCCCCGGCUUGGUGUUGGGCCCCCGGUGGUCGUACCCGACCACCCGCCUCAAAGAUAGUGACGGCGUCCCAGAGGGAACCGGUACGAGGAGCUUUCACGAGCAUGUACGCGGGACGACUCUGUGGGCGACGGUCUUUUUUAACCUUAAUAUAUCAAGUGUUGACCUCGGAUCAGGUAGGAAUACUCGCUGAACUUAAGCAUAUCAAUAAGCGGAGGA